GUGGGCCGCAGGUCUGCACGCCCCGUGCAGGCUCCCUCAGUGUUCCCUAGGUGGUGGGCCUGCGUGGGCCUUGGGUCUUCAGAAGUGAUAUCGGGGGUGCGUGCACAUGGGGUGGUUUAGGAUUGGGUUGUGGCACAGUAACGUGUGGAGCACAAGUAGGAGAGAACAUAGAACCACAGGAUACCCCGAGUUGGAAGGGACCCGUGCGGAUCAUGGAGUCUAACUCCUGGCUCCACACAAGACCCUCCAAAAAUCAGGCCGUACGUCUGAGUGCGUUGUACAGAUGAUUCUUGAACUCCAGCAGCUCAGUGCCAUGACCACAGGGGAGCCCGUUCCAUGCCCACCACCCUCUGGUGCAGAACUUUUUCUUGAUAUCCAGCCUGAACCUCUUCUGCCCAAAGCAGACUUUUGUCAUCGUUUUCUAACCCAUACUGGUAAUCUUAUUACUAAGUCAAGUGUAAUUACUCUUGCAUAUUCAUUUUAAGUGAUGUCAUUCUGAUCUAGCAGAAAGCAGUGAUGAAGUUCUCAACUUUUUUGUGGUACGAUAGUAACGACGAGUGUUUUUCCAGGCAGGUGCCGGAGCGCUGCCAAAGGCUGCAACUGACCGUCAUAAGGCUGCAGUCAUCUUUGGAAAGCCAGGCCCCACCUGCAUGGCGUCCAGCUUCUUCCCUGAAGGUUUCUCUUCAUACUCAUGAGGUGAUGUUUCAGGAGUGUCAGGUAUCCAGAGUUCCAGCUUUCAGAAAAUUCUGGCAAAUGAUAGUGUCUGAUGAAGUGGAGGAGGGUGGAAUGGAAGACUGGAGUUGCCUGCCCCAGGCACGUCACAGUUACAUUGAAGCACAGAGGGAAAGUUCCAUGUAG
rnacentral:lncRNA from 1 species